UACGGGGGGGGCAAGCGUUGUUCGGAAUUACUGGGCGUAAAGGGCUCGUAGGCGGCCAACUAAGUCAGACGUGAAAUCCCUCAGCUUAACUGAGGAACUGCGUCUGAUACUGGAUGGCUUGGAUUUGGGAGAGGGAUGCGGAAUUCCAGGUGUAGCGGUGAAAUGCGUAGAUAUCUGGAGGAACACCGGUGGCGAAGGCGGCAUCCUGGACCAAUACUGACGCUCAGGUGCGAAAGCGUGGGGAGCAAACAGG
rnacentral:rRNA from 1 species